rnacentral:rRNA from 1 species
UACGUAGGGUGCAAGCGUUGUCCGGAAUUAUUGGGCGUAAAGAGCUCGUAGGCGGUUUGUCGCGUCUGCUGUGAAAACCCGAGGCUCAACCUCGGGCCUGCAGUGGGUACGGGCAGACUAGAGUGCGGUAGGGGAGAUUGGAAUUCCUGGUGUAGCGGUGGAAUGCGCAGAUAUCAGGAGGAACACCGGUGGCGAAGGCGGAUCUCUGGGCCGUAACUGACGCUGAGGAGCGAAAGCGUGGGGAGCGAACAGG